rnacentral:rRNA from 1 species
ACGCUGGCGGCAGGCCUAACACAUGCAAGUCGAGCGGUAACAGGAAGUAGCUUGCUACUUCGCUGACGAGCGGCGGACGGGUGAGUAAUGCCUGGGAAUAUGCCUUGAUGUGGGGGAUAACUAUUGGAAACGAUAGCUAAUACCGCAUAAUGCCUACGGGCCAAAGAGGGGGAUCUUCGGACCUCUCGCGUCAAGAUUAGCCCAGGUGGGAUUAGCUAGUUGGUGGGGUAAAGGCUCACCAAGGCGACGAUCCCUAGCUGGUCUGAGAGGAUGAUCAGCCACACUGGAACUGAGACACGGUCCAGACUCCUACGGGAGGCAGCAGUGGGGAAUAUUGCACAAUGGGGGAAACCCUGAUGCAGCCAUGCCGCGUGUAUGAAGAAGGCCUUCGGGUUGUAAAGUACUUUCAGCAGUGAGGAAGGUGGUKKUGUUAAUAGCAYYAUCAUUUGACGUUAGCUGCAGAAGAAGCACCGGCUAACUCCGUGCCAGCAGCCGCGGUAAUACGGAGGGUGCGAGCGUUAAUCGGAAUUACUGGGCGUAAAGCGCAUGCAGGCGGUCUGUUAAGCAAGAUGUGAAAGCCCGGGGCUCAACCUCGGAACAGCAUUUUGAACUGGCAGACUAGAGUCUUGUAGAGGGGGGUAGAAUUUCAGGUGUAGCGGUGAAAUGCGUAGAGAUCUGAAGGAAUACCGGUGGCGAAGGCGGCCCCCUGGACA